GAAAUUCCUCUCGAUCAUGCGCCGCCGCAACGAAACAUCUUCCUUUCCUGCCCGACGCCCUCGCUCUCGGUGCUUGGAGAGAUCGAGCCGAGCAUACCGGCUUCCCCUGAAGGCUUGAGACGGACACAGUUGACUGCUUCUUCGUCAUUGAUUGUCGCCAGCAACUGCGCCCUUGGCAUCGGUGUGGCCUUGCAAGAUUGGAUCUUUUUGUUUUCAUCCCAAUCAUCGCCAUGGCGGCCUCCUCCCCCUGAACGAUGAACGCAGCUGCUUCGUCAUUGAUGAUCAGCUUCUGACCCUUCACCAAUCUCUAUCCCCUAUUAUUUGUUCCAUCAUCUGUUCCACUUUCCACGAUUGAUUCAGUACUGGUGUUGCAAACUUAUUUCGAUUCUCAAAAAGCGAACAACCUGAUCGGUUUGGUACUUAAGUGGAUUUCUCAUCCUACAAUAUAUGUCUACAUGGAAUAGACCAAAAGCCACACAUAUUUAUACAGAUGGUACGAAGAUGCGGCAGAAUUUAUUUGUGGAUUUACUGGCACAUGAAAGAAAUGGAUAUCCGAGAUAUCUUCCCGUCGAUAUUAAACAUUAUCUUAGCCGUAUCACGGAAAGGUCUAUAAAGUAGAGUUUGUGAGCCUACAACGUCGUGCUCUUCGUGACUGUGUUUGAUUUCACAAACAUUGCGAUCCUACAAUGUCAUUUUCAAGUUGUUAUU